UUUAAAGUCUGACCUGCCCACUGAAAUUAUUUAAAUGGCCGCAGUAUUCUAACUGUGCAAAGGUAGCAUAAUCAUUAGUCUUUUAAUUGAAGGCUGGUAUGAACGGUUGGACGAGGUAUAAGCUGUUUCAUAUAAAUUUAUAAUAGAAUUUUAUAUUUUAGUCAAAAAGCUAAAAUUUAAUUAAAAGACGAGAAGACCCUAUAAAUCUUUAUAUUUUAAGUUGUUUAAAUUUUUUAGAUUAAUUUUAUUUUUAUAAUUUAGAGUAUUUUGUUGGGGUGAUAUUAAAAUUUAAUGAACUUUUAGUUGUUAAAAAUCAUUAAUUUAUGAAUUAUUGAUCCAUUAAUAGUGAUUAUAAGAUUAAGUUACUUUAGGGA
rnacentral:rRNA from 1 species